rnacentral:rRNA from 1 species
GUAGGUGGCAAGCGUUGUCCGGAAUUAUUGGGCGUAAAGCGCGCGCAGGCGGUCCUUUAAGUCUGAUGUGAAAGCCCACGGCUCAACCGUGGAGGGUCAUUGGAAACUGGGGGACUUGAGUACAGAAGAGGAAAGCGGAAUUCCAAGUGUAGCGGUGAAAUGCGUAGAGAUUUGGGGGAACACCAGUGGCGAAGGCGGCUUUCUGGUCUGUAACUGACGCUGAGGCGCGAAAGCGUGGGGAGCAAACAGGAUUAGAUACCCUGGUAGUCCACGCCGUAAACGAUGAGUGCUAAGUGUUAGGGGGUUUCCCGCCCCCCUUAGUGCUGCAGCUAACGCAUUAAGCACUCCGCCUGGGGAGUACGGCCGCAAGGCUG